rnacentral:sRNA from 1 species
AAAGCAGUCAAGCAUUUGUGAUGAAAUCUCUAAAAAUAAAGUACAAGAAAUUAAGCCAGUGUCAAAUUUCUCCCAUGAUAUUGGUCCUAUUGAUACAUCUGAAGGCUGGUGUCCUAUUAGAGAUGAGAGAGCCACAGAAGGUACCAUGUUCAACUUCAAAGUAAAUGACCUAAGCUGUAGAUGCUGUGAUUAAAUUUCAGUUUGUAUUCAUGCUUAUAUACGGUUUUUUGGCUUAUCAUUUCUGAACUAUGAAGAAGAUAAUGUUGAAUCUGCAAAAGAGAAAAAUGAAUUGGAAUCAGAGCUGUUUCUAGUAUAGGAUCGAGUAACUUUACAGAAUACGCCUUCACACCUUAGUCCACACUUGUUCAGGUUUAAACGUGUGUGACUGGUCAUUCAUUUUCGGUGAUUUUUCCCGCCCGGUCCUAGUUACUUGGCCGUCUGACCAUGGCCACACAGUACCAGAUCCAAAUGGCUUCAUUAUAGGAAAGGACCAAAAAAUAGAUAUCUCAGAAAUUCUUGAUGGUGCAAGAUGUUCUGGAUGUUUGAAUCAGGAUGAGGGUAUAACAGAAGAGAACAAACUAUCAUCUCUGGCUAUGUUCUUAAUAGUCAAAACCAUAUCUUAAAAACAAGACCUUGAAACUUUUUGUUGCACUUGUUCUAUUGUCUCUAAACAAUAAACUAGAAGUAGAAACAGGAUGCUGGUUGUGAGGGUUCCAGAAA